rnacentral:lncRNA from 1 species
GCCCUGAGGUCGUUUUUGCCAGGAGUUGUAUGACCAGGAAUAUGAAAGCUCAGGGUUCUCUUUUUGGGGUGGCAGAAGCCAAGAGAGGUAAUAUACAUUCCAGAGCUCCUCUGUGUGAUAAAGCUGAGGCUAGAAUUUUGUUGAGAUCACACUGUUGCUCGGCUUCUUCCUUUUCCCAAUCCUCCUUUCCUUCCUCCCUCCCAGAUUUCUCACGGGAUCACUUUCUUGCUCUGUCACUGCACAUGAAUAUUCAUCUCAGGCUCUGCUGCUGUGGGACUUCACACAGGACUGGAGUCAUGCUGACCUUGCAUUUCACUUGGAUAGAUUAUAGCAGGAUGUACUUACAUCCCAACAAACUGAAAAUGCUGACCAACUGCAGCACAGCCAACUCGAAUUUGCUCUUUCGUCAAAGUGACCAGCACCUCAUUUCUUCGUCUUUAGAAUUUGUAGUGGACCUGGAAUACAGUCAUGAUCCUGAAUUGCUCUCAACCACGUAG